GACGUCGUGGAGGCAGAGCUGUCAGCAACCGCGAGGCCGUUUGUACUUGGCCCGGCCAGGCUGACUCCCGUGACAGACAGGGGCGGGGGCUGAGGGGCCGCCUGUCCCGAAGCCCCUUACGUGGGCAUCUCGCAUUCUCCUGCUUUGGGCUCCGCUCUGGACCCAGCGACGGCGGCGAGUCCAGGUGCUGCGCGGCCCGGGAGUUGCCAGCCCCGGACGCGAUGGCUCCCGUGAGGAGUGGGGUGGGAGGUGGCCGAGGGCUAGGCGAGCCCCUCGCGCCCGGAGAGUUAUGAGCGGGGCAAAGGACCGCAGCAUCAGCCCAAGCCGCAGCCUCGGCCGGCGCCUCCCGCGGGCCCUCGCCAACUCGCCCCCGCGCACCAUGCCGACCCCCGGCCGGCUGAGCCCGCCGCGCAGUCCCUGCUUCCUCCCUGACCCCCGCUAACCCCCAGGGGACUGGUUUUGGCCGCCAGGGUAGCUCCCCAGGCCGCUCCCCCGGAGAGGCGGAACCGCGGGGCGAGCGGAGCCCCGGCUCAGCCCUUCGCUCUCCAGCCGCGUCCCCCUCCCGGCCGCCCGGCGCGCCCGCGGCGAUGGGGGCGCUGCUGGCGCUCUGCCUCCUCUUGGGCUGGCUACGCGCGGGCCCGGCGGGCGCCCAGCAGCCCGCAGAGUACUGCCACGGCUGGGUGGACGUGCAGGGCAACUACCACGAGGGUUUCCAGUGCCCGGAGGACUUCGACACGCUGGACGCCACCAUCUGCUGCGGCUCCUGCGCGCUGCGCUACUGCUGCGCGGCGGCCGACGCCAGGCUGGAGCAGGGCGGCUGCACCAACGACCGCGGCGAGCUGGAGCACCCGGGCAUCACGGCGCAGCCUGUCUACGUUCCCUUCCUGAUUGUUGGCUCCAUCUUCAUUGCCUUCAUCAUCCUAGGCUCUUUAGUGGCUAUUUAUUGCUGCACCUGCUUGAGACCUAAGGAACCCUCGCAGCAGCCAAUCCGCUUCUCACUCCGCAGCUAUCAGACAGAGACUCUCCCCAUGAUCUUGACUUCUACGAACCUCAGGGCACCUUCCAGGCAGUCCAGCACGGCCACCAGGCUGCCUGGUGCCCUCACCACCCCCACCUUACACCACAGGCCACCCAAUCCACUUGACCCAGCCGUCUGGAUUCCUGGUGUCACCCCAGUACUUCACUUACCCGCUCCAGCAGGAGCCCCCGCUGCCCGGGAAGAGCUGUCCAGACUUCAGUUCCAGUUGACAGGCCACGGCCACAGAUCCAUCAUCUAG
rnacentral:lncRNA from 1 species